AUUGAACGCUGGCGGAAUGCUUUACACAUGCAAGUCGAACGGCAGCACGGGAGCUUGCUCCUGGUGGCGAGUGGCGAACGGGUGAGUAACAUAUCGGAACGCACCCAGUCGUGGGGGAUAACUAUCCGAAAGGAUAGCUAAUACCGCAUACGUCCUGAGGGAGAAAGCGGGGGAUCGCAAGACUUCGCGCGAUUGGAGCGGCCGAUAUCGGAUUAGCUAGUUGGUGGGGUAAAGGCUCACCAAGGCGACGAUCCGUAGCGGGUCUGAGAGGACGACCAGCCACACUGGAACAGAGAAACGGUCCAGACUCCUACGGGAGGCAGCAGUGGGGAAUUUUGGACAAUGGGGGCAACCCUGAUCCAGCCAUCCCGCGUGAGUGAAGAAGGCCUUCGGGUUGUAAAGCUCUUUCAGCAGGAACGAAACGGUAAGCUUUAAUAAAGUCGGCUAAUGACGGUACCUGCAGAAGAAGCACCGGCUAACUACGUG
rnacentral:rRNA from 1 species